rnacentral:rRNA from 1 species
AUGGGGGAUUUCCGGCCUAUAAGUCUAGUGCACUCCAUUGGAAAACUGAUCUCUAAAGUUUUGUCCAUGCGGCUAGCCACUGUUAUCAGCAAGAUCAUCUCCCCGGCGCAGACAGCAUUCCAGAAGAACAAAUGCAUUCAUGAUAGUUAUCUCUAUGUCCAAAACACCAUUAGAGCAUUGCACCGAGCCAAAACCCCGGCGCUGUUGUUGAAGAUUGACAUCGAGCUUUCGAUAGUGUUUCCUGGGAGUACAUCAUUGAACUCAUGUGUAAGCUGGGAUUCCCCGCACGCUGGUGCGACUGGAUCACCCUACUGCUAUCGUCCCCGUCCUCGUCAUGCCUGA